CUUUUUGUUUGAACCAGGGCCUGUUACUGGAGCAGACUCAUGACAGACAGCUGGAGAAAGAUGCAACACUACAGAAGCUCAUACUGCUGAACGAUCAGAGGAUCUGAAGGGCCUCCAGGACACGGUUCCCAGACCGAGACCUUCAAAAUGUGGACUCUGAUUGGCCUGUUUUU